GCAGUGCCACUGUUAAAUUCACAUAGUAUUUUAAAAAAGGAACAACAUGUAAUUCCUCACACCAUAAAGGAACAAAAAAAAUUCCUAAAUGUUGCAUAAUGCUCUAAAGCACAGAUGCUACCAGUACAGAUAACCAUGAUUCAAUUGUUAGGAUAUAAGCAGACCCUGUCAAUCAGUUCCUACACUGUUGAAAUGGAAACCAAAAUCAUGCACACAUAACCAAAGAGCUUUCUAAGUAAAGCGCUAUGAGUUUGCCAAUUGAUACAGUGCCUCAGUCUCUCAGAAGCAUAAAAGCAAAAGGUUGUUUCUGAUAUGUGUGGUGCUUCUAAAGUGUUAGUGCAGCCAAUUUUUAAGAAGUAGGAAAUUUUUAUUUCUACUAACCGCUUACUUAUGUCCUCCCAUGUAAGGCAUUCAUUAUCCAAACCAUAGUAAA
rnacentral:misc_RNA from 1 species